GCCAGGCGUGGUGGCUCACGCCUGUAAUCCCAGCACUUUGGGAGGUCGAGGUGGGUGGAUCACCUGAGGUCAGGAGUUCGAGAGCAGCCUGGCCAACAUGGUGAAACCCCAUCUCUU
rnacentral:SRP_RNA from 1 species